AGAGUUUGAUCCUGGCUCAGGAUGAACGCUGGCGGUGUGCCUAAUACAUGCAAGUCGGACGGGCAUAGCAAUAUGCUAGUGGCGACCGGGUGCGUAACACGUAGCUGACCUACCCUUCAGCGGGGGACAACAUGUCGAAAGACGUGCUAAUACCGCAUGGACUCUGUGAGACCAAACAUUGCAGAGGAAACACGCAAGUGGCUGAAGGAGGGGGCUGCGGCCCAUCAGGUAGUUGGUAAGGUAACGGCUUACCAAGCCAAUGACGGGUAGGGGGCCUGAGAGGGUGGACCCCCACACUGGGACUGAAAGACGGCCCAGACUCCUACGGGAGGCAGCAGUAAGGGAUAUUGGGCAAUGGGCGCAAGCCUGACCCAGCAACACCGCCUGCAGGAUGACGGCCUUCGGGUUGUAAACUGCUUUGGCGUGGGACGAGGAAGGACGGUACCACGCGAACAAGUCACGGCUAACUACGUGCCAGCAGCCGCGGUAAAACGUAGGUGGCAAGCGUUAUCCGGAUUUACUGGGCGUAAAGCGUGUGCAGGCGGGUGUCCAAGUGGUGUAUGAAAUGGCUCGGCUCAACCGGGCGAGGUUAUGCCAGACUGGAGACCUUGAGGCUGGAAGAGGGACAUGGAAUUCCGGGUGUAGUGGUGAAAUGCGUAGAGAUCCGGAGGAACUCCAGAGGCGAAGGCGGUGUCCUAGGCCAGACCUGACGCUCAGACACGAGAGCAUGGGGAGCGAACGGGAUUAGAAACCCCGGUAGUCCAUGCCGUAAACGAUGCGGACUAGGCGUGGGGGGACUCAACCCCCUCCGUGCCGAAGGGAACCCGAUAAGUCCGCCGCCUGGGGAGUACGACCGCAAGGUUAAAACUCAAAGGAAUUGACGGGGGCCCGCACAAGCAGCGGAGCGUGUGGUUUAAUUCGAGGCUACACGAAGAACCUUACCUGGGUUUGACAUGCAUCUGGUAGGGAAGUGAAAACGGACCGACCUUCGGGAGGAUGCACAGGUGCUGCAUGGCUGUCGUCAGCUCGUGCCGUGAGGUGUUAGGUUAAGUCCUGUAACGAGCGCAACCCUCGGGGUCAGUUACACGGUGUCUGGCCCGACCGCCCGCGAUAAGCCGGGAGGAAGGUGGGGAUGACGUCAAGUCAGCAUGGCCUUUAUAUCCAGGGCUACACACACGCUACAAUGGCCGGUACAAUGGGUGGCGAAGCGGUAACGCGGAGCAAAUCCAACAAAGCCGGUCCCAGUUCGGAUUGAGGGCUGCAACCCGCCCUCAUGAAGUCGGAGUUGCUAGUAACCGCCGGUCAGCUAUACGGCGGUGAAUACGUUCCCGGGCCUUGUACACACCGCCCGUCACGUCAUGGGAGCUGGCAAAGCCUGAAGCCAGUGGGCAAACCCGCAAGGGGAGCAGCUGUCGAAGGCAGGGCCGGUGACUGGGACGAAGUCGUAACAAGGUA
rnacentral:rRNA from 1 species